rnacentral:piRNA from 1 species
AUUCUUAUUAUUUUGAUCAUGGA